UCCCGCCCCGCAGCCCGUCCCUUCGUUCCUUUCUCCUUCCCUCUCUGUCCCUCUCCCGGUCCCCGGCUUUAAACUCUGCUUCUCUGCCCGGUAGCUCGCCACCGUCUUACCUUUCCCCGUCUCUCUCUCUCUGUCCAGCUCCCUCUCUCGAAUUUUCAAUUCCUCCCUGUCACUGCAGAAGCCUGUCGGGACUUUUUCCCCUGCCCGGCUUGCCUCUCCCUGUCUCGCGAUUCCUCCUUCUCUGCCCUCUUAGCCGCGACCGUUUUUAUAUUCUCCGUCUCUCUCUCGGUCCGCCUCGAGAUCCCGAUUGUUUUUUAAAGGGACCGAAUCGUCGAGGUUGGCAGAGACCUUUAAGAUUAUCGGGUGGAACCGCGAACCUGGCGCUGGCAAGUCCCCCUCUGCCCCGCAGCCCGUCCCUUCCCUUCCGACGGCCUCUUUCUCCACCUCUCUCUGUCCGGCUCCCGGCCCCUCUUUUCCACUUCCGCCCUCUGUACCCUGUGGCUUUCCCCCUCUUCUUUCUCUCUCUGUCUCUGUUUGAGGAGGAGCAGCUGCCGCCCCAGCGUUCGCACCCCGUUCACGGUGUCGCGCGCACGCUUCUUCUCGGGCGCGCUUCCUCCUCCUCCUUUGGGCUCGACCCGAGGCUUCCGGCAGCAGUCUCCGGGUGUCGGAUUUUGUAAAAUAAUUAACGUAACUGAAAGGUGCAGCGGCGGGAUCGGCCCGGGCGGGGCGCCUCCAAAGAGAGGGACCCGGAACAAAGAAAUCCCGGGGCCGUUACACGCUUGGGUCCCGGACACCCGCCCCUCGCGCGCUGUCCGCGCGUCCCUUAGUCCCGCGGUGACUUUUGGUCUGGGGUCUUCUACCGUCGUCUCAGAUUCUUCUUCUGUAUAGCUGUGGGCGGUGCGUUAUUCUACAGGUGCUGCUGCGCCGAUGCUCCGUACGUUCGCAGUAACGGGUAGAGCGGAAGGCUCCGUGGCCAGGGAAGAGCGGCACGGACACGUUCCUGCUUGGUCCGUUGCACCGGAAUUUCGACGGCUGGGUUCGGCCGCUAAAUUGAUGGCGCUACCGGAAGAAAUUUCAGAAAAAAAGGGUGGCUUUUUCGUCGAUCUCUUUGUGAGAGUAUCAAAUCAGGUGGCGGUAAAUACGUAGAAGCAACUAGGCGUACUACGGCGUGUACCGGACAGCGUUGGCGUGCCGCUCUGCUAGCAGCGGAGAGCCAGAUGAGUAUGCCCGUGAUAUGAGAAAAGCUCUGUCCAGAGAUAUGGAGACGAAAUCAGUUGUACCUCAUCCCGUGACACCGGAAGACAUUGAGUAACUCGUCCUGCAGCUGGCUCCUCGGUUUUGGCGGCAGCCUGCACAUAGCAGCCCAGCUCUCCAGCAGCCUGACGGACCGACCGUGUGUCUGUUCCACGCCGGACUGGUGAGCGUGGCUCUGGGUAGGACAGCCGAGGUGCCCCAGGGCCGGGCCCCGAGCCCCAGUGCGGAGUCUCUCCCGGGACCGGCUCUGUGUUUGACUGAAUAAACGCUUGCGGUCUCUUUUG